AUUGAACGCUGGCGGCAGGCCUAACACAUGCAAGUCGAGCGAGCGGCGGACGGGUGAGUAAUUUCUGGGAAACUGCCUGAUGGAGGGGGAUCACUACUGGGAACGGUAGCUAAUACCGCAUACCCUCAGAUUUUCCCCGAUGGGAUUAGCUAGUAGGUGGGGUAAUGGCUCACCUAGGCGACGAUCCCUAGCUGGUCUGAGAGGAUGACCAGCCACACUGGAACUGAGACACGGUCCAGACUCCUACGGGAGGCAGCAGUGGGGAAUAUUGCACAAUGGGCGCAAGCCUGAUGCAGCCAUGCCGCGUGUGUGAAGAAGGCCUUCGGGUUGUAAAGUACUUUCAGCGGGGAGGCGUUACCCGCAGAAGAAGCACCGGCUAACUCCGUGCCAGCAGCCGCGGUAAUAC
rnacentral:rRNA from 1 species